UCACUAGUGUAUGAGUACCUCAUCGGCGACCCUCCACAGCUCGUCGUCGCUGUAGCGGCCGUGAGGAUCCAAGUUCAUUCGGAACGUUCCGAAUUGCUGCUUCCUCUUUGUACCUGCGGCACAACACCGAAGGCUUUCCUCCAGGUAUGAAGCGACACGGAGUUCCAGGAGACGCCGUCCACAGAGAUUUCGCCAUCCGUGUAUGCCAGUCGCAGAAGAGCCGACAGCAAGGUGCUUUUUCCUGAGCCCGUACGGCCCAGAAGGCCAACCUAGAGUCGAAUUAUGAGACUAUGAUGAUUGUAGUGUGUAUUUCUGCCAUUAAAUGCAAGACUAUGUGUGUAAGACAGGAGCUGUAUGUAAGACAUUGUAUUUAAAAAUCAGACCAUUUCUGGCAAGAUAUGUAAGACAGGAGGUUUUGCGAAAACCCAAACUGACGCUGUGUCCGCCCUCCACCGAGAAGCUGACGUCGCUGAGGAUGGCGCGUCCGGCCUCCGUGUACUUGACGGUCACUCCCUUCACGUCCAUUUGUCCUUGGUUGGGCCAGUAGUCUUGAGCGUGCGGGUUGUCGAUGACCAGGUCACUUCCCGGUUUGCCUCCUUUGCCUGCUGACGGAUCUUCCGACGGCAGGUCAAUGAACUUGAAGACUCGAUCCACCGAGCGCAUCUGAGGAAAGGAUUUGUUCAUCGCAAAGUCACAGAUUACCCUU